rnacentral:rRNA from 1 species
UACGAGGGGGGCGAGCGUUGUUCGGAAUUAUUGGGCGUAAAGGGUGCGUAGGCGGUUUGAUAAGUCUGAUGUGAAAUCUAUGGGCUCAACCCAUAGUCUGCAUUAGAAACUGUCGGGCUUGAGUAUGGGAGAGGUGAGUGGAAUUUCCGGUGUAGCGGUGAAAUGCGUAGAUAUCAAGAGGAACACCUGAGGUGAAGACGGGUUGCUGGGCCGACACUGACGCUGAUGCGCGAAAGCCAGGGGAGCAAACGGG